AAAACAAAAAUUCUUUCUGGCUUUUUUGCUUAUAAGCUUAAAAAAAGUCAGCCGAAAAACUGGUACCAAACGGAACCUUAACAGUGAUAUUGUACAAUCUUAUUCAAUGAAAUUGGUUUUUUAUUGAAACUUCUGAAUUUUGUUAAUGGCCAAAAGUAAUAGUUUUUAUUUUUUUUAUAUUGUAAAAUAAAAGUAAUUUAUAGGAUAUAUAUAUAUAUAUACAAAGAUCGAUGUUUGAGUAAAUUCGCUAAUAAAAAUAAAAUAAAGCGAUUAACAUUGGAGAAAAGAGGAAAAGUAAAAAAUAUUAGUCUUUUAAAUAUAUUAAAAGUUUAAUAUAUGUAAAUGUUGUGUAUGCACAGAUACAUGUUUACAAAUUUAUUAAUUAUUAUUUUGUGAGUGGGAGUUCUUGUGGGUGACAAAUGUUGAUGAUUGCAACCAAACCAGUCUAAUGGUAGUAGCAAAUUGGCCAUAAUAGAAUUAUAAAAAUAUAUUAGUGGGAAAAAAAUUGAAGUGAUUUUUAACGGUAAAUUUAGAAAAGGGACAAUGGAUUAAAUGUGUGAGGAAAAAAAUUAGGAAAUCUUAUACAAUGCAGAAUAUUAAUGAAAAAAUAUUUAUUAGAAAAAUCAUUAAGGAAAAAACUGUAUUAUAAAAAAGGAGAAGCUUGAAAUGUAUUUGAAAGACAUAAGGAAAGAUGUCUUUAUAUUCUUUCUUUGUGGAAAGGAAUCCUAACUUUUAUGAGUUAGUAGACUUACAACACAAAUAAAAGCUAUACCUUCAAUAAGAAAUUUAAGAUUUAUUUUUUAUCGGAAGAUAUUUUAGUUUUUUAAAGCAAAAAUUGAGUUAAAUACAUUUUGUUCGUUUUAUGAUUAUUUUUUUUGUGAUUUAUUUGACUUUGGAAAGAAGAACAUUAUGCUUAUCAUUUGUAUUUUUCGUUUUGUGUUGCAUUGACAAAUAGAUAUAAUAAGUUCUAUUAUUAGUUGAUUAUAUUUAAGGGUUGUGAUAUAAUGAGUUCAAUUAUUAGUCGAUUAUAUCUAAGAGUUGUGUAUUAUGCCACAUGAUAUGGUAAAAGCAACAAGUAAGUAUAUUUUUUUCUCUUGAAACUGUUUAAAAAAUCCUCUAUUUUGGAGGGGAUAACACUUUAUUUAUGUUCGAUGAAAUAUAUUUUAAAUAUUGUUUAUCAAUUUUUUUUUUAGAAAAAAAAAUUUAUGACUCCAUGCAUAGCAAGAGAUAGUGCUAGUUGUUUCAUAUCCUUGAGAAUGUUUGUUACCAUAUAAAAAUUGUGUAUGAAUAUCACAUGAAUUCUGUUUUACCUAUUUGAAUAUCACAAUUGCGGGGUACAAGUGAAAUGUGCAAACAAAACUUAUUUGAUUCGUAAAUAUGUAACUUUUUAUGUUAUUGAGUGUAAGUUAAUUAUGCGAUCGAUGCAAGUAAAACAAGUUUUUUAAUAUUGGAAGGAGGGAAUAAUAAUUUUGGUGGGUCCGCUGCAAUUGUGAUAGUUCAAAAUCUCACUCCGCUGAAAUGAUAUAAUUAAGUUUGUCUUCUCUCCACCUAUCUGAAAUUUCUUCCCCUUUAUUUUAGGCAAAAUAUAAUUUUUUAACAAAUAGGAAAGGGGAAGGCAUGUCGUGCUAUUAAGCCCAACUUGGUUUUUGAAUUUAUGGUUGCCAGAGGAAGUACGGCCAUAGGCUAACAUUAUGUUUUUCAACCAUCUGCAGAUGGGUUAGUUGGCGAAUUAUAGUCCAUGUACCAUCCACUGGAUGUAGGUAGGUUUAAUAGUGGUUCAGUACAACGAGUAAAGGGCGAGAGGUGCUGUGCUAUUGAGCAUGGUUUUGAAAUUCGGACGGGAUUGGUCGGUUGAAUCGGUUGAACCGUCGAUCGAAUUAAAAAAUAAUUCGGUCAAUUCCUUUAACCCAGUUAGGAUAUAAAAUCAACAUAAACCGUGAAAAUCCAUAGUUAAACUGUUAAACCAUCGAAGCAGAUCGGGUUUUUGCGACCCGAGGUUCUCGAUCUUGUAGGUGGAGAUGAGAUGGAGGGUCUCGCCGACGAGAGAGAGACCGAGGGUCUCCGUCGGUAGCAAGGAGGGAUAGGAUUAGGAGGAUUGAAAGAGAGGGGAAGGGAAGGAAGAGGAAGAGGAGGAGUGAGAGAGGGGUGGAGUAGUGACAGUGUGUGAUAGAGAGAGAGAGGGGUAUUAAUGUGUGCUCACUAAAAUUUUGUUAUAAAAAACAAUAUUAUUUAUAAAUACAAUAUUAUCUAUAAAUUAUAAAUAAAAAGAUUAUAAAUAGUAAUAUAUGUUUAAUAUGUUUAAUUAUAAAUCCAAAAUAUCCAAACAAGGUAUACAAUGAUGGACAAUGGUUAUGUGGUGUGUGACAGUGUCUAUUGGACAUGAGAGUGUAGUGUGUGAUGGACAGUGGGUAUGUGGUGUGUGGCAAUGUGUAUUGGACACGAGGGUGUGGUGUGUGACAGUGUGUGAUGGAGAGAAAGAGAGUUAUAUAUAGAGAGAAAUAUCAAAAAAGUGAAGGAAAUAAAGAAGCAAAAAUAUUUUUUUGCAUAUUUAUAUAUUUUUAUUAUUUAUUAAAAAUAAUGUAUGACGUCAGGUUCGAUAACGGUUCAAUAAUGGUUAAUCCGACGAUUAAACCUGUGAUCCAUGACCCGAUUAUUUUUUUUUUGAUUGGCUCAACUAUCUGAUUUCAAAACAUUAGUUUUGGGUCCAUUGCCCAACGUGCUCAUUAGUUUGCUAUAUAUUAACAAUUGUCAGUUGUUUGGUUGGCAAAUUAUAGUCCAAUACAACAAGUCAUGUGCGAUCAUUUAAGGGUAGAAUAAUUGUAAUAAUUUACAUAAACACAAAUCUCACAAACUUUUCCAAUCAUAAUAAUAAUAUAUUUGAACGCAUCAUAUAAAUAUUUUUUACUGUGAAUAUUAUAGCUUCUCUUUUUUAUUUAUAUAUAUAUAUAUAUAUAUAUAUAUAUUAAUAGAUAAAUAAAGAAUUUUUGAUCAAACGCCUGAGAUACGAGAUAAGGCCCUUGGGCCUGAAACUCUGAGAGAGGAUGAGGAAGAGCAUAAGGUAAAGCCAAGGUACUAGAAAAGGAGAGGGGUUCGGGAGGAGGGACCCACAAUAAAGAUAUUAAGUUGUGUGGCACUAAAAGAUGAUGUCGUGGCACUAUUCACACCUCAUUGCAUAGUGUACCUUAUCAAUCAGAAAUGCUAUCAAUGCAAUAAAGGCACUUGCAUGCCAAGAAUUUAACGCGAAAUUUUUAUUUUGUAAAGCUAAAAUAUGAUUGAUGAAUUGAAGAGAUAAGUAGUUGACAAAUAUUAAAAACACUUGCAUAUCCACUUUAUAGUCAGUAGUAAAAAAAAAAUUUCUUUAUGAGGGUAUAGUUUUUAUUUUUAGGGAUAACUGCAUCACACCUCUGAGGUUUUUUAUUAAUUGUUACUGACCCUCCCUGUAGUUUUAAAAAUGGCCACUGACCUCCCAUGUAAGAGCAAAAAUGACCAUUAUACCCGCCCCCAGCCCCCACAGACCCCCACCCAACCCCACCCCACUCCACCCCUACGAUUUUUUUUAGUUUAUUUUAGUUUUUCUUUUAAUUAUGUUUAUUUACUUUUUAUAUAAGGGAGUUGGGUUGUAUAGUUUUUUUUGAUAAAGAUUUUUUUAUUAUAUGUUUGUAUUUUUUUUAAUUAAUUAAUUUUUAAUAAAAAAUAAAUAAACAUAAAAUAAAAAGGAGAACACAAAUUUAAGUUCACAAAUAAUCUGAUAAUUAAUUUAAAAAAUUGUACAAAACUUUUUGUUGAAGGUAAUAAAUUAUAAAAUAUCUUAAAACUCAUUAAUAAAACGCCAAUUUGGCCCUACUUUUUUUAAAAAAUUCAAAGUAUUUUAGUUUUGAGUUUUUUUAUUUUUAGAUGAUCAUUUAGCAAAUUUAGCGAAAGUAUCUAAACAUUUAGAAGUUUCGCAUCUAAUGUACUGAACUUUUAAUAUCUGAUUGGCAUAUUUAUUUGAAAGUCAAGAUUUAAUGACCAAGAGUAGCCUCUCACUUGGGUAUAUCAACUUAUUGAUGGGAAAGGGAGAAAAAAAAGAAACAAAGACAGGAAGCAGAAAGAAAGAAGCAACCAGGGGGGGAAAAAACAGUGGAAAAACAGGGAAAUUUAAUUAAUGAGGGUUUAAGAUAUUUAUAAUUUAUACCAUACAAAUAAAAAGUUUGUACAUUUUUAAAUAUAAUGAUCAGAGUAUUUGUGAACUUAAAUUGUGUCUUUUUUUAUUAAAAAAAUAAUGAAAACCCAAAAAUUAAAAAAACAACAAAAAUAUAAUUAAAAAAAAAAUGUAUCCAAAAAAAAAACUGUAAAAAAAUAAAUUAGAGAUUAAAAAAGUAAAUAAAAAUAAUUAAAAUAAAAACUAAAAAAAUAAAUAAAAAUCGCGGGGGUGGGUUGGGGUGGGUUGGGGUGGACGUGGGGGAUGGGGUAUAAUGGUCAGUUUUGUUCUUACAGGGGAGGUCAGUGCCAUUUUUAAAACCACAGGGGAGGUCAGUACAAUUAUGAAAAACCUCAGGGGGUGUGAAUGAAGUUAUCCCUAGUUUUUAUUUGUGUUGUAAGCCCACGAACUCAUAAAAGUUAGGAUUCUGUAAAGGGCAAAACAUACAAUAACAAGUCUGGUCUUACUAGGGCAGGGACCUCUGCUGAACUAUCAGCUAUGAAAAUUGUGGUUCCUCUGAACCGGAGCUCGGAAGACACCAUUGAACAUGGCAGUGCUAGGGGGGCAGGGGGCCUCCAACGACGGAUCGUUAAAAGUAAGCUCGGCGGUCCUCUGCACUGAAGCUCAGUGAAGACACUAUCAAACACUGCCGCUAUCCGAACUAAAUGCAACGUACUGCCGAGUAACACUAUGUAGCAAGCUCAAGAUAAUAACCGCACUAGAAGCUUGGACGAGAGGCAACGAUCGAAGGCAAUCUCGAGGGAUAUCAAGGACAAAAGGUAACUUGCACGUCAAAGUUUCUUUUGACAAUCUCCAUACCCAGAUAGAGACAUCGGCGUGAUGAUGACUAGCUAUCAGCCAAGUCUUAGGAGCAUGGAUGGGUCAGCCACUUACAUACUAACACACCGGUUGGUGAGUAUGAGUAUGCGUCAAGUUAUAGUCUGUCCGAUGACAAGACAGCUAGUGUGUCAAGACAUGCAUCGGGUUAUGCUAUAUAAAGCCAACUUUUCUUUCAUUGAAAGGUACACAUACUUUGGCUAUCUGAGCUUAUAUACACUUUCUCUCUCUACAUAUUCGGUAUUCUAACUUGACCGUCGAAGAGCCGUUUAACGAAAACAACUCUAGCGGCCGAACUUACUAUGUCUGUGUUACAAGUAGGGCAUCGGAGGUUGACUGGUUGAAGCUAUUACUACUGUCGUAGAACCACUGUGGGUGUCUAUCGUCGAUUUUCUUCCUCUCUCCUUCAAACACUACACCCCCACAAUUGGCGUCGUUUGUAGAAAAUCGAUUAUAGACAUUCGCAAAACUAGUACUGAUGGCAUCGUAAAGUAGCAACCAUUCCAAUAGUUGAAAAACUCGUAGGGAGGCUCCUGAUGCACCCAAAGCUCUUAGGGGCAAAGGAGUCAAACUAUUGGAUGAUGCCCAGAGGGCGGCCAGGGCCACCUCUAGAUAGAAUCUGAGUCAGUUACUCCCUGGAGGUGCAGACAGCCAGGACAUAACUAUUCAAUGCUUACAAAAUUAGUUGGCCAAAAUGGCGCAACGCUUGGCAAAAUCCGUCCUAGUAGCAGUAGUAGGACAUUCUAAAGAUAGGGUUAAAGAACCGACACUCCCAUCUUGGGAAGACCGAGACAAAAGACAACACCCAUCCCAUAUCAACUUGGAUAGCCGGACGGAUAGCAAAUUCGUAGCUUCGAAUAAGUGGAAGGGAUCUCCUAACUGAGCUGACUUUGGUAAGGAUCUCUAUGAGACGCUCAAUGGCAAACGAAAUUGAGAUUGUGACCUAUACAGUAGGCUCAAUGAUCAAAGGGCGGCGGCCUCUAACAAGUUGUUGCUCUUGUUGGGUCGAUAGCCCGCACGAUCAAACUCGAACAAAUGGACCUAGUCCCAAAGUCCUAGACUCCAUUUUCUUGAGAAAUCAAGGAAUUGGAUCCACCAAAGAAGUUCACAUUACUGAGGUUCACGCUGUAAGAUGGGAAGUCAAAUUUGAGAUCCCACAUGAGCCAUGUCAGGUAAAUGAUGGCUCUUUGAAACCACAUAUAUGCCCUAAUGUGCCGCGUAUUCCCAUCUAACUUAGGUGACGAAGGGUUGAAGUGGUUCAACAACUGCCUACGGGAUCAAUAUAGAGCUUCCAUUAGCUUAUUGAAUCAUUCAUAGCUCGGUUCAUGAUUAAUACGAAAGCACCUAAAGGCAUUAGCUCUCUUGAUGCUCCGAAAGGGCAAGAACGAGAUGAUUAGGAACUAUAGCAAGCGUUACUAGGAGACGUACAACGAGAUCGAGGAGUGCUCCGAGAUUUGGCAUGGCGAUCUACAAGCUCAGUUGACUCGAGGAAGAGACUUGUUUGGAUAAAUUGACGGUCCACCCGCCUAUUGACCUCUGGGCUCUCAUGUCCUAGGUCAAAAUACUCAUUUGGUGGAGGACAGACGUCAGAUAGGCAUAGGAAAGCUACAAGGACUGCAAACUGGGGCGAGGGGCCAAUUCAAAAGUGUAAGGAGAAGCUCGUUGAUUACAAGAGCGAGUGAGGUAGGGGAUACAUGGCUUUUAAGGAAUCGAUCUACAAACUCCCUUCCUCGCCCAAAUUUUGAGAUAAGCCCUUACUGGGGCUGUCCAAAGCCUUAGCCCUUGGGCAGACCCCAAGAUACACUCACCAACGGUGGAGGUAUUCCUUCAUUCACGAAGAAAGAGUGUACCUAUAGAGAUAUACCGACCCUAAAGGUUUUCCUAGACUAGCUGUGUUCGAGAUGGACACUUGAAGAGUAUGUUGAUGAGGAAAAGACUUGAGCAGAAAAAGCCGAGGCCAGACCUAAAAACCCAAGGUUGACCGAGGCUAAAGAACGAAAUAGACAAAACCAAACGGAAGAUUGAGGAGGAUCUUCCCUUAGGCACUAUUCACAUGAUGGUGGUCCAAACCACCUCGAUCUUAGAAUAGGCCUAACCGGGGGAGAUCCAAAUGAUAAGACCAUGCACAAGAUUUUUCUCGGUCUAAGCACUAGCUAAGAACCGAAUAGACUUAAAAUUCCGAACCGAGAAGUAUCACGUUCACCAGAGCUGACCUGGAUAGGGUGCACCACCCCCACACUGAUCCUCUGGUGAUUCAGUAAACAAAAAGAGACAAAAAGAUUAAGUGGGUAUUGGACAAAACCACUUUAAGAACUUGGGUGAAAUUCUUGUGUAAAAAGUGAGUUGAGCACUUUGUAAAUCAGCAUCCCACCUUGUAACAGUUGAUUGCAAAUAGUGAAAGAAAAUCUUGUGGAAGUCUUGAGAGAACGUAGACCACACAUUGUGGUUGAAUCUCGGUAAAUCUUGGUGUGCCCUUCAUACUUUGUUUUUGCUUAUCUUUAUUGUAUUACUUACAAUUUCAGUUAUUGUUUUAGUGAAUAGAUUAAUUUUUAAUUAAUCUUAAUAGCAAAUUAAUUUUUAAAAAAUCAAAUUGACCCCCCUAUUGGGUUGCCUAUUAGGCCAACACCUGUGUGACGUCUAUUAUCUCAAUUUACACAGAUUACGACACAGUUCAAGACAGGACUGCCCACUAGUCUGCCAGUAAAUUCAAUAGGCUCUCACAAGAAAGGUUUAAGGCCCAAAGCUAACUAUCCAAUGCAGGAAUUUUUUGUUGUCUCUCUCAAAUCUCUCUUGAGUUUGAGUCGAUUUGAGUCGGUCUGUAUGAAAUUUUCAUUCGGGGGGAUUGUAAGAAAUAUGAUGUGAAUAAAAGCCCAAAAUGGGCUAAAUUUAACAACUCCAAAAUAAGAUGUUAGAAAUCCAAAUGACAACCAUAAACAGCCCUUAAUAGUUGGAGUUUAUAGCCAUCAAAAUCCCUCAUGAUGGGGGUUUAUGGAUGGGAGUUUUUAGAAACUAAAAUGUCAUUAUUUUUCUUUAUAAUGAGAAUUUUUUAUUGCUAGAAAAAUUCACCAAUAGCAAUAACAAUUUAGAAAAAUAUUUUUGAGUUCUUUAAGGGAAAUAGAAACAUGCGUUUUAUCAUGUUCGUCAAGGUUGCUACGGAAGUGUUCCUGUAGUUCUUUGUUCAGUCAUUUUAUCCUGGGAGAAAGACGCCGGCAAAAACUUUCAACACCUUCGGUAGGCGACAAAAUUUUUCUUAAGGAGACUGUGAAAGUAGAACUUGAUCUAAUUUACUAUUUGUAUCUCUAAUUUCAGAUUUUGAAUUUUAAUUUCUGCAUUACGUUUAUGUAAUUUCAAUUUUUUUAUCAAAUGAAAUAAAAUUAUUAUUUGAAUUCUGUAUUGCCGAAUCAUUUUACAUAACUUCAUGGCGAUUCUCAUGUUUGUUACUUUCUUUCCCUCACUUUCUUGCUGGCGUGCCUUGCACUCACACCUCCAUAGCGUGAGAGGACACUAACCUCAUACGGUCCCUCCCGUGCCUUCGCGAAGGAUGUACAAUAUCCCUCUAUUAGCUUUUUUUGUCUUCAGCUUAUGUAUUGGUCCUUUACUUCUUUAACAUGGCCGCCUUAGUUUCCUUUCCUCUUCUUCAUUUGGCGACAUACAGUUCUCUAACUAAAUUUAUAAACGCUAAUAAAUAAGGAUAAGGGGUUAUUUGGAUUUAAAAGCAGGUAUUCUUGCAUUUUCCAAACAACAAUCUUUAUCCUUUGACCUAUAAGCAUAAAAGCAAAAGUUUUAGAAAUAUUUUGGAACACUUCUAAAAUAAUAAAAAAUUGGCACAACUCAAAAUAUCAUCAACAGAUUUUCACAUUAUAAAUAAUACACACUAAUGUGACCGGGCCACCCGAUGUCUCCAUAGACAACUAUAGUGUUUUUUGAAAGGUUGAUGAAUAACAAGGACAAUGAUUAAUUCCAGCACAAAAAACAUCAAGGAGAUAUAAAUGGGCAAGUCUAGGCAUUAAAUGUAAUCCUCAAAUCGUAAACCUAAAAGUAAUUUUUUGAUUAUCUUCCAUGAAAAUUUAUUGAAGUGUUCAUAAUGCUCUAACCUGCAAGCACGCAAAAACGAAGGAACCGUCUUCUUAUAUUAGGAAUAUGAAUACUUUCCAUCGAACGCGGGUUCCAGGUCCAAGUGUAAUUUCCUUUCCUUCCCCAUCCAAAAUCAUCGCCAAAUAAAGACGCAAGUGACCAACUAGUGAUUACUAUGUUUGGAUUCCCGUAAAAAAUCCCUCAGUGUAUCCAGCAAUGUGGAAAUGUCGAAUCUAGAUAAAUUCGGCUCAUUUUUCAAGAAAGCAAGAGAGGACCUUAUGUACUCGUUGUUAUCUCUCUUUGGCUUGUCGUAUCUUGCCUGAAGCAUAAGCUAAUGGCUUAGACCUAGCUCUCCCCGAGGUUGCAAUGCCACAGUUUGGUAAUACUGCAUUCCCCACUACCCUUUGGCAAUGGAGGUUUCACGCGCAAUUGCGAAAAUCCACCGCAAAUCUCAUAUUUGUUACUUGCUCACUUUUGUGUCCGCGUGCCUUGCACGCACACCUCCAUACAUGCGCAGCCACGACCUCGUACCUCGUGAAGGUCCUAUUGACUAUUAGCGCUUUUCUCUUCAUGCCCUGUAUUUGCUCUCGCUUAGCUUUAGCACAGCUACCGUGGUUUUCUUCUUCCGCUCUUCUAAUUACUUGAGUGGCCAAUCAAGAGCAGGGGUGGUUGGUUUGAACUCCGGUUGAUCAAAACGUGGUGCCCCAGACUCUCAGUUCGUAACUUUGUUCGAUCGAGAAAGGGUAAAUGUGAUCAAUUUGCUCACCGCGAGCGAUUCUCGCCCAAUUUGAGAUGAAAUGCCCAGCAGCUAGGCCAUCAGCAAGGACAUGUGAGAUCCCUGUUGGAGGUUUAUGAACUUAUUAAAAUUAUAGUUCAAUAAGCAAGGAUGGAAUAAGGGGCUAUCACACCCUUAAAAGUUUAAAAAAAAUUACUAAUUAUACUACAAAUUUUAAUACACUUCAGAAAUUAUACAGGUUAACUAACUCUCAAAUUUUUUUAAAGAUAAUUUUAAAAUUACAAAAGUUAGCCUCCCAUGAUAAAUAAGAAUCCUGAUUUGUACCUGUCAAUAAGAAUGGUAAAAUCCAAAUCAUCAAAACAAAACAAGCUGUAUAAACCAUGUAAUAGUACUAGUAUAGAAAAUCAAAUAGAAUAAAGCUCGAACAUAGCAAUCUAACCCUAAUGUCAUUAAGACACAACAAAUCGUUGUCUUACAGCCGUAUCGUCCUCUUUAGUAUCGGAUCGAAUAACGGCUUUAAAAUAUAACUCAUAAUCUUACAAAGUUUUUUUCGCUCCACUCCAAUCGUAAGAAGGGUGGCCAAGUAUUUCUCAAAAUUUGCCAAACCUAAGGAACCGUGACGAGCGUAAUGAAAGUUGUAAUGUUUAGUCACUUUUCUAAUCUUAAUCCACACCUCUGUUUUAACACCCUUUAACCGAAGAACCUAACUCUUCCUAUUAAGAUUCGGAACUUAAUUUACCACCAUACCUA
rnacentral:lncRNA from 1 species